rnacentral:rRNA from 1 species
GGAGGAAGCUCCGGCUAACUACGUGCCAGCAGCCGCGGUAAUACGUAGGGAGCAAGCGUUGUCCGGAUUUACUGGGUGUAAAGGGUGCGUAGGCGGAUUGGCAAGUCAGAAGUGAAAUCCAUGGGCUUAACCCAUGAACUGCUUUUGAAACUGUUAGUCUUGAGUGAAGUAGAGGUAGGCGGAAUUCCCGGUGUAGCGGUGAAAUGCGUAGAGAUCGGGAGGAACACCAGUGGCGAAGGCGGCCUACUGGGCUUUAACUGACGCUGAGGCACGAAAGUGUGGGUAGCAAACAGGAUUAGAUACCCUGGUAGUCCACACUGUAAACGAUGAUUACUAGGUGUGGGGGGUCUAACCCCCUCCGUGCCGGAGUUAACACAAUAAGUAAUCCACCUGGGGAGUACGACCGCAAGGUUGAAACUCAAAGGAAUUGACGGGGGCCCGCACAAGCAGUGGAGUAUGUGGUUUAAUUCGACGCAACGCGAAGAACCUUACCAGGUCUUGACAUCCAACUAACGAAGCAGAGAUGCGUUAGGUGCCCUUCGGGGAAAGUUGAGACAGGUGGUGCAUGGUUGUCGUCAGCUCGUGUCGUGAGAUGUUGGGUUAAGUCCCGCAACGAGCGCAACCCUUGUGAUUAGUUGCUACGCAAGAGCACUCUAAUCAGACUGCCGUUGACAAAACGGAGGAAGGUGGGGACGACGUCAAAUCAUCAUGCCCUUUAUGACCUGGGCUACACACGUACUACAAUGGUCGUUAACAGAGGGAAGCAAUACCGCGAGGUGGAGCAAAACCCUAAAAACGGUCUCAGUUCAGAUUGUAGGCUGCAACUCGCCUACAUGAAGUUGGAAUUGCUAGUAAUCGCGGAUCAGCAUGCCGCGGUGAAUACGUUCCCGGGCCUUGUACACACCGCCCGUCACACCAUGGGAGCCGGUAAUACCCGAAGUCAGUAGUUUAACCGUAAGGAGAACGCUGCCGAAGGUAGGAUUGGCGACUGGGGUGAAGUCGUAACAAGGUAGCCGUAUCGGAAGGUGCGGCUG